GGAUUACAUUGGCUACAAGGGAUAGAAACAUCUAUAACCUUACCAGUUUACAGAGCUCCGCUCAAAAUCAAGAGAACAACGGCUUAUUGUUUGUUUCAGUUAUAUAAACUAAAUAACCCCGUCCAUAUUCCAAACUUGCCACCGACAACAUUGGCCUACUCACGGUAACAAAGUAUUAGGUAUGUCCGGCUUUUUUAUACUUCACGUUAGUCGAACCAAAUGAUUCGUAGGGCCUUAGCGUUAUUGUCUUUGACAAUAUUGCUAAUAUACCGACGAAGGUUUUAAUAUUAUCGUUGUCAACUUAAUUGAGUUUGGUUUUUUAUGUGCCAGACGACGGUCGUAUUAGU